rnacentral:rRNA from 1 species
UCCGUAGGUGGCAAGCGUUGUCCGGAUUUAUUGGGUUUAAAGGGUGCGUAGGCGGUCCUAUAAGUCAGUGCUGAAAUAUCCCGGCUUAACCGGGAGGGUGGCAUUGAUACUGCAGGACUUGAGUAAAGUUGAGGUAGGCGGAAUUGACGGUGUAGCGGUGAAAUGCUUAGAUAUCGUCAAGAACACCGAUAGUGAAGACAGCUUACUAAACUUUAACUGACGCUGAGGCACGAAAGGGUGGGGAUCAAACAGG